rnacentral:tmRNA from 1 species
CCCCUUUUAAUUUCUUUAAAAAAGUGUUAUAUUAAAGAUGUUAGGGUAACUUAACUAUAGUGAUAAACGUCUUUCGAAAUAGGCGUUGCGGACCCGGGGGCGGAACCCGGCACCUCCACCAGAAGUCUUAUGGGGGUGAAUUAGGAUCGACGUGCGUAAUAAAGGGUAGAUUUUCACUCGGCAUUGUACCACCGUAUCGGGCUAAACACAUAAAUGCAAAAAAUAUGAAUGCAUUCGGUGGUAUGGUUGCAAACUUAAAUGCGAGCAACCUCAAUGGGACACAAGUAGCUGCUCGCGCUGCUGCUUAGUCCUUUACCAUCGCGGUUCGAGGGGCACCGGGCAACAGAAGCCCCUCAUU